UCCAUUGACUUUAAUGAAGGAUGGAUCAGGCCACAAGUCACUUAGCUGCCUUCAGUGUCUUAAGACAUGCUUUUUAAUUCCUGAGAAAAGCAACAGCAUGAACCAAACAGCUUUAGCGUCUCUCAUCUUACAGUGCAUUUUGCAAGUUCUGGAAGGAAACCUGGACACAGAGAAAAAUGCUACAGCGAAAAAUGAGCCAAAACACAAACCAUAUGACAAUGCCUAUUUCUUCAUACUCUUUGUCAUGUUGUUUUACUCUUUCCUGGCAUUAACUGUCUUUUUUGGUUAUGUUCGCUCCAAGAAAGCCAUUUCAAAGAAAGAUCCUUACCAGGAAUUCAUCGAGGAUAAGGAUCGAAGCAAGAAGUGGAACAUGACCCGGCCGGUGGUGGUGAAAUUUGACUUUGAAGAAGAAAGUAUUCUUUGAACUACUUAAACCAAAAUAUUUUGCCAAAUGCACUGGACUGUCUCUGUUGCCUACAUCUCAAAGGAAGAUCUAUGCAUUCCUCUUGAUCAGCUAUGUCCAGCACAAUAAGUCAAACCAUUGCUUAGAAAUAGGUAGUGUUAAUAUACAGUGCUACCCAGAGGCGUUCAUGAGCACAAUACUGAUUUUCAGUUGGUAUGUAGGCUCGGGUUUGUCUGAACAUGCACUAAAACUAAAGCUGAGCAAAUAAUUCUCAAUAAAUAUUUAUUUGGAGAAAUUAGUUUGCUCAUGGAGUUGCUGUGCAGAGAUGGAGUUUCCUCAGAUUUAUCUGUUAUUCACAAUUAUUUGUCAUUUUUUUCUUUUUGUGUGUGCAGAUUUUAACUCUUUGGACUGUAAAUGAAUAGGCCUUUAUUAGUUUUAGGUAUUUAAUAAUUAAGCUAUGGUGGUUAGUUGUGAUUGGUCCAAUAUGUCACAUGAUAUUACUUCUGGAUGAGCAUGCAAACACUUCUGGUGUAAAAACUCAUAUGUGCAAAUGUAUAAAUACUCACACCUGCAAUGUUGAAAUUCGCGUUCUACAAACCUUCAUGUCAGUAAAACUAGACUGAAUAAAUGGUACACACAAA